GUUGGAAUUUAACCAAACCCCGGCACGGUAUGUGCCAAGGAAAACAAUAAACGAGAAGGACUCGACCUGUUAUGCCCCGUUUGUGGUGUGCAUUCUGAGCGUGUCCUCCUUUGAAUCACAAACGACUCUCGG
rnacentral:rRNA from 1 species